rnacentral:rRNA from 1 species
UACCAGCACCCCGAGUGGUCGGGACGAUUAUUGGGCCUAAAGCAUCCGUAGCCGGUCAUGCAAGUCCUCCGUUAAAUCCACCUGCUUAACAGAUGGGCUGCGGAGGAUACUACAAGGCUAGGAGGCGGAAGAGGCAAGCGGUACUCAGUGGGUAGGGGUAAAAUCCUCUGAUCCAUUGAAGACCACCAGUGGCGAAGGCGGCUUGCCAGAAGCGCGCUCGACGGUGAGGGAUGAAAGCUGGGGGAGCAAACCGGAUUAAGAAACCCGGGG